GAGAGUCGAGACGUCUGAAACCCUCUGAAAGGAUACACUCAAUCAAACCCGAUUCAGUUCCUGCCACCGUUCCACGCAAAUAAACGCCGCCGCCGCCGUUUGCUAGCCUAUAAACCCAGCGUUGGCGAUGUACGGUGAGAUCCCGGACUACCGCUACCGCCUCAUCGACUACGUGGGCGACGGCAUCGUGAUCGGCUCGUCGAUCGGAACCCCCUACCACUUCACCAAGGGGUUCCUCAACUCUCCCAAUGGCGGACGCCUCGCCGGCGGCGUCCGCGCCGUCCGCACGGACGUGCCUCGCUUCGCCGGCAGGCUCGCGGGUCUCCUGGCCGUGUUCUGGGCCCUCGAGAGCGGCAUGUCCCUAGCGCGCCGCCGGAGGGAGGAUCACUGGAUCCACCUCGUCGCCGGCGCCGGCACCUACGCCCUGGCCAACAUUCACCGCGGCGUCCCCGCCGCCGCGCGCUCCGCGCUCCUCGCCGCCACGGCGAUUGCGGGGUUGUCGGUCGCCGAUCUGAGCUUUGAUUUUUGGCAUAGCCGACUCCUUAGGUCCGGCCGUGAGGUGGGGAAGAAGAACGGCUUGCCAGCGCUGGUACCCAGCAAGCGCGUCACCCCGUGCCGGGCGGCUCUCAGGGAUGCACCGGGCGGCUCCAUCGAAAACAGGUGUCAAAACCUUGUGCUAUGAAGACAUCAAAACCACCUCGCUUCUUUAUGUUUUUGCUGCACAGGAAGCAGAAAAAAUAAUAUGCACGGCCACUACUCUCUGAGUAUUCCAACCAAGAUGGAAAUUGACUAAACCAGAUGUAUUGGAAGCGGCGUCGAUGCCCUUUCGGCCCAGAAGGCUUAUAUUUCUUUAGUAAUGGCUGAAUGGGUCCUAAGUGCAAGUAUGCUCGCACCACUUGAUCUCUCUGAUUAUUUGGGUACUGCCAAAUUCGUGGACGAAGUGCAGGAUCCCUCUCCAAGAAUUCAAUGCCUCGAAACAUGACAGGUUGCAAUUCAAGUAGUUGAGGUACAGAAGGAGCAUCAAAUAGAUCUUGCCCCUCCCCAUCAAUCGAUUCAUCUCUUUUUCUUUUGAAAAAUGAAUCCAGAGUCUUCAUACGAACCAUUGCUACCUAAUUCAGAAAUUACAUCUAGUCAAUUAACUAUGAUUUUGCUAGUUUCAUGGGGAUUAAAGAAAUUAGGGCAAGCGAUUGGAGAAUGGGGAUUGAAGAAAACCUGUAGACUGUAAUCAGUUUUGAGACUUCGAGGCAGUGUUACAUGGACACGGGUGCGGGUGUCGGUGUCCGACUCGGGUGCGGGUGUCCGAUUCAUUAGAAUUUUUUGGGACACGGCAAAUAACACUUGGAAUCCGACACGGGUGUCGAAAUCCAACACAGGUGCGGGGUAUCCGACUCGGCAAAAAAAUUAAGACACGGGUGUCCGGGUAACACAGCUUCGAGGGGCUCCCCCUUGCACUGUAGAUAGGCAACAGGAACAAGCACCACAGGAAGAAAUCGGCGAGCACAGAGAGAACGGAGACGUAGAGCUGCCACAACACGAGGUCCGCCGCCGCCGCAAUGAUGCGGAGACGCGGCGCCGCUGCGACUCGCCGCCGCUGCCUGCUACGAGCAUCAUGUAUGCAUGUAUUGGGCAAUUGCUAUGCUUGGGCCUUGGGCUGGUACUAGACCUAGGGAAUUUCUACCGAGGCAAAGGGGACCGGAGCCCAGUUUCGCCUCUACUGGGCUCCGCCACUGAUGAUGACAAUUGUGAGGUUUGUUAUCGUGCAUAAAUAAAUAUCAUACUUUGUGUGUUGUAUACUUGCAUUGAAGCAUGUAAAAAAUUUCCGUCACAGCCACGUUUGAUUAGUUGUUAAAUGUGUGUACCCAAUGCAGAAAAGGAGGUUCAAUUAUGCAAUUUGAGUCUUCGAAAUGUAUUUGAAAUCUGGUCCUGACUUGACAAUUGAACUUUUUUUAUUGCUAAAAUGAUUAGGAAUCUAGUGUGUACGGCCUUCUGUAGAGAACUUUUGCAAUCAUAAUGGUCCCUGCCCAUAAAAGCUUAUUCAAUAAUUCUCUUUCAUUGACCAUGCCCAAAAUAAUGAAUAUACUUUUAGUUGUGAAGUAAUUUAAAAUUUUCUGUUGUUUUUAUAUUAACCAUUAUCUUGUCGUUUUUAUUUUAUGACUGACAAAUGAGCUGAUCAUAUCUCUGAAACUUUUUAAGUUUUAGGUAACUUUGUUCUUUUCUUGGGACGCAGGGACUGGGCGUUUAUGCUUAUGCAUAUAGUGUGGUUUUACAUUUACUGAGAAAUACUGUGCAGAUGUUUUUGAGGUCAGAAAAUGAUGCGAUACUGGACCUUUUUGGCAUGGAGCAGGAGUCUGAAAUGACUCCUAAUAAGGAUGUUUAAAGUAAUCCUCUAUGAACAUCAAAGCCUUCACUUACCUUCAAGUACUCCAUCUGAUCCGAGCUGUCCACUAAAAUCACAUAAUAGCCUCAUCAUUACAUAUAUAUUGCAUCAUUGUAUUGUAUGACAUUAUGAGAGAAAGCAUAAUUGUCUAAAAUUUAAGUUUGAACUGCUUUUGUUUCAUUUCUCUGUGUUGUGCUGUGCUGGUAAAGUCACUAUGGCCAGGAAGACAAAGCUGUGUGAAUUGUAUUCUGUGCACACCACUUUUCUUCUCCAUCUGCCGUUUCCUAUUGUAUUGGUACGAAUUGGUAACUGGAUGUGGUAAACGGACAGGCAAUUUUUCUUCUCCA